rfam:Candidatus Daviesbacteria bacterium RIFCSPLOWO2_01_FTLL_39_12 rifcsplowo2_01_scaffold_13602, whole genome shotgun sequence.
AUACUCAACAAUAAUGCAUACGGUGGAUGCCUUGGUUGAAAGUACCGAUGAAGGACGUACAUAGUUGCGAUAAGCUUGGGGGAGCUGCCAAGAAGCUUUGAUCCCAAGAUUUCCGAAUGGAGUAAUCCCCCGCCUCGGCGGGAUCUUCUGCUGAAUACAUAGGUAGAAGAGGGGUACGCGCCGAACUGAAACAUCUAAUUAAGCGCAGGAAAAUAAAUCAACAGAGAUUCCCUAAGUAGCGGCGAGCGAAAAGGGAACAGCCUAAACCAUGUACCAUCUGGUAUACGGUGUUGCGGGACCACAAUGUGGGAGUAGUCAGGAUAGCCGAAUCCGCUGGAAAGCGGAGUCAAAGAAGGUGAUAACCCUGUAAGUAAAAUCCAAGCUACCUCUAGUGGAUUCCCAAGUAACUCAGGACACGUGAAAUCCUGAGUGAAUCCGGGGCGACCAUGCCCUAAGGCUAAAUAUACUUUCAGACCGAUAGUGAACUAGUACCGUGAGGGAAAGGUGAAAAGAAGAGCGGAACGCUCAGUGAAAUAGUACCUGAAACCGUAUGUUGACAAGCAGUGGAAGUUGGGAGCAAUCCUGACAACCGCGUGCCUAUUGAAGAAUGAACCGGUGAGUUGCCGUACCUUUCACUAGUCUAAGGAAUUAUGUUCCGGAGACGCAGUGAAAGCGAGCAUUAAUAGUGCGUUAAGAAAGGUGCGGCAGACCCGAAACCGAGUGAGCUAACCAUGUCCAGGGCGAACCCCGCCGAAAGGCGGGAGGAGGCCCGAACCCGUUACUUUAGCAAUAGUUUGGGAUGAGAUGUGGUUAGAGGUGAUAUGCCAAACGAACUCGGAGAUAGCUGGUUCUCCCCGAAAUAUAUUUAGGUAUAGCCUUCAAAUUUAAGAAGUGGGGGUAGAGCACUGGAUGGUUCGAUGAGCGUAAGCAAGUUGGACCAAUCAAACUCCGAAUACCAUUUCGUACAUUUGAGGAGUCAGUCCGAUCCGGCUAAGCGGAGCGGUCCUGAGGGAAACAACCCAGACCAAUAGCUAAGGUCCCUAAUUGUAAGUUAAGUGUUAAAGGAAGUUAUAAUCCUUAUACAGCCAGGAAGUUGGCUUAGAAGCAGCCACCUUUUAAAGAUAGCGUAACAGCUCACUGGUCUACUACGGAUUGUAGCGCCGACAAUGAACCGGGGCUAAACUUACAACCGAAGCUUUGGAUUGGAUCGAGCAAUCGAUCCAGUGGUAGGGGAGCGUACCGCACCUAGUGAAGCUGUGCUGUAAGGCAUGGUGGAAGGUGCGGCAGUGAGAAUGCCGGUAUGAGUAGCGAAUUAACGUGAGAAACGUUAUCGCCGAAUGCCCGAGGUUUUCUACGCAAUGUUAAUCAGCGUGGAGUUAAUCGGUCCUAAGAUGAGGCCAUAUGGCGUAACCGAUGGAUUACAGGUUAAAAUUCCUGUAUUGAAGUUAUUUUGACAAGUUCUGAUGUAACUCGCCGCAAGGCGGGACAUAUCAGAAGCCUUUAAGGGUUGACGAAGUGGGAAAUAUCUUGCCCUGAGUUUAUCGAAGGGUUUAAGUAACAAGCAAGUAUUGAUUGCCAAAAGCGUUGAUAUGUUUAUGCGAGUUAUGACGAAGCAAUAAGAUAAUUUUCUGUUUCCAAGAAAAUACCCGUAAAGGAGAAUAAUUUUAACCGUACCGAAAACCGACACAGGUGGGCGAGUUGAGUAUACAAAGGCGAUCGGGAGAACUAUCCUUAAGGAACUCGGCAACGAAAGCUGNNNNNNNNNNNNNNNNNNNNNNNNAUCCUUAAGGAACUCGGCAACGAAAGCUGGACGUAACCUUUGGGAGAUGUCCUGCCACGUUCAGUUACAUGAACGUGGCUACAACAAAAGACGCUAAGCGACUGUUUAUCAAAAACACAGGUCCCUGCUAAAUCGAAAGAUGAUGUAUAGGGGCUGACACCUGCCCAGUGCCAGUAAUUUACUGUCUCCGCUGACUCCUUGCCGCAAGGCUUGGAUGAGGUGGGGGCCUAAGAUCUGGUGAACGGCAGCAGUAACUAUAACUGUUCUAUGGUAGCGAAGUUCCUUGUCUGGUGAGUUCAGACCCGCACGAAAGGUAGAACGACNNNNNNNNNNNNNNNNNNNNNNNNNNNNNNNNNUUGUGUAGUGUAGGAGGGACCACGUUCAUGCGCAAGCACUGAACGUGGGACAAUGAAACACCUCUCUUUUGAAUCUUUAAGUCUCACCAUCACCCUUAUAAAAACAGGGAGUGGGACAAGGUCUGGCGGGCAGUUUGACUGGGGCGGUCCCCUCCAAAAAAGUAACGGAGGGGUACUAAGGUACACUUAUCCCGUAAGGAAAUCGGGAUUUAAGCGUAAAGGUAUAAAGUGUGCUUGAUAGCAAGACUCACAAGUCGAGCUAGUACGAAAGUAGGUCUUAAUGAUCCCCUGGUGGCACAUGGAUGCGCCAGGGCUUAACGGAUAAAAGUUACCCCGGGGAUAACAGGCUAGUCUUGCCCUACAGUCCACAAGGACGGCAAGGUUCGGCACCUCGAUGUCGGCUCAUCGUAUCCUCCUGCUGAAGUAGGUGGGAAGGGUCGGGCUGUUCGCCCGUUAAAACGGUACGCGAGCUGGGUUCAGAGCGUCGUAAGACAGCUAACCCGCCUUUAAACAUUUGGCGGGUGACAAUGAACUGUCUUUCUCUAUCGGCGUUUUAACCUUCGAGGAAUAUUAAAAUCUUUUUGUCAAAAAAUAAUAUAGAGAUAUAAAAUCUAGCUAUAUGCUGGAAAGUCUUGUAAAUAAUAAUCUACUAGUAUAUGAUUUAGUAACUAGUAAAAAUGGUUAUUCACUCAUGGAUAUGAGGCAAGAUAAUCAGCAGGAAAGACUAGUUUCAAUGAAACUUUUAAGCGAUGAUUAUUUAAUUGGUUUUACAGAGGGAGAAGGAAUGUUCUAUAUAGGAAUAGUCCGAUCUCUCGAAACUAAAACCGGCUGGCAGGUGAUUUACUUUUUAAAAGUAUCACAAAAUCCAAUCGGAAUUGAAGUUCUAAAUCAAUUUAAAGAUCGUUUAGGUUGUGGCUAUAUUAAACAAAAUAGCCAAACUGAUAAAACAGAUAAAUCUUUAGCCUAUGUUGUUAGAGAUUUUCUGAGUUUAAAGAAAAAAGUAAUUCCUUUUUUUGAAGGCAAAUUAGUUAUUAAAAAAGAAGCCUUUGAAAAAUUCAAACAAGUACUAAAACUUGUUGAGACAAAGCAGCAUUUAACCGCUGCAGGAAUUAAAGAGAUUUUAGAAAUUGCUUACUCAAUGAAUACUCAAAAAAGAAGAGUAGAAAAGCAAGUAAUUCUAGAAGCUUAUAUGAAACUAGAAUCCUCACAGGCCAUACGCUAGACCCGCCUUUGGCGAGGAAGAUAUGGUCGGACCUCUGAUGUGAAUCGGAGAGCUUGCAGGAAAAAGAAACUAGCAAGCCCACGUUCAGUUUACAUGAACGUGGUUACAAUAAUGUCGGACUCUAUCCAGUAUNNNNNNNNNNNNNNNNNNNNNNNNNNNNNNNNNNNNNNNNNNNNNNNNNNNNNNNNNNNNNNNAGUGUGCCUGUUGUACCAAAAGUGCAGCGCAGGGUAGCUACGUUUCUAACUGAUAAGUGCUGAAAGCAUCUAAGCACGAAGCAGGCCCCAAGAUGAGGAAUCUUUUAAGAUCCCAGGUAGACUACCUGGUUGAUAGGUUGGCGGUGUAAGUGCCGUAAGGCAUUUAGCCUACCAAUACUAAUGAUCAUCGUUGAGAUUUU